rnacentral:rRNA from 1 species
CCUACGGGUGGCAGCAGUGGGGAAUAUUGCACAAUGGGGGAAACUCUGAUGCAGCGACGCCGCGUGAGUGAUGAAGUAUGUCGGUAUGUAAAGCUCUAUCAGCAGGGAAGAAAAUGAAGGUACCUGAUCAAUAAGCCCCGGCGAACUACGUGCCAGCAGCCGCGGUAAUACGGAGGGGGCAGGCGUUAUCCAGAUUUACUGGGGGGAAAGGGAGUGUAGGCGGCUUCGUAAGUCUGAAGUGAAAUGCCUAGGCUUAACCCCGGCACUGCUUUGGAAACUGUGCAGCUAGAGUGCGGGAGAGGUAAGUGGAAUUCCUGGUGUAGCGGUGAAAUGCGUAGAUAUUAGGAGGAACACCAGUGGCGAAGGCGGCUUACUGGACUGUUACUGACGUUGAGGCUCGAAAGCGUGGGGAGCGAACAGGAUUAGAUACCCGAGUAGUC